GAUUAGGGGGCCUACUGAAAUCCUUUUGAUGUCAACAUGGCAGAAUGAAGACUGAAGCCUGCUGGAUCUGCCACCUGUUGGAUCUGCCUUCUAAACUCAAGAGGGAGUCAUGGACUUGCUCUCUACAUCCUCAUUCCAACCCAAGGAGAGGAGCUAGGAUUCCGGUCAGGGCCACACAUAAUAACGUGGUUUCAGUGAGACUUUUGAUGAAUGGAGGAAACAGCCCCUAGCUGUGAAACACUAUUGAUGUUUAAGAAAGAAAAUGAAUCCCACGUACUCUUCAGCGCAUCCUGGUCUUAUUCAAGGUAACAUGCUUCCUCAUCGUCCUCACCCUUUGCUUGUUGGCCUCUGCGUGUGGCUAUCAAGAAUCUGGGUCAAAGAUAUCAGGGGCUUAGCAGGGCCCUUGAAUUUCAGCUCUGGAACAAACUCACCUAUGGGAGAU
rnacentral:lncRNA from 1 species